rnacentral:rRNA from 1 species
CCUACGGGGGGCAGCAGUGGGGAAUAUUGGACAAUGGGGGCAACCCUGAUCCAGCCAUGCCGCGUGUGUGAAGAAGGCCCUCGGGUUGUAAAGCACUUUCAGUGAGGAAGAACGCCUGGUGGUUAAUACCCGUCAGGAAAGACAUCACUCACAGAAGAAGCACCGGCUAACUCCGUGCCAGCAGCCGCGGUAAUACGGAGGGUGCGAGCGUUAAUCGGAAUUACUGGGCGUAAAGCGCGCGUAGGUGGCUUGAUAAGCCGGUUGUGAAAGCCCCGGGCUCAACCUGGGAACGGCAUCCGGAACUGUCAAGCUAGAGUGCAGGAGAGGAAGGUAGAAUUCCCGGUGUAGCGGUGAAAUGCGUAGAGAUCGGGAGGAAUACCAGUGGCGAAGGCGGCCUUCUGGACUGACACUGACACUGAGGUGCGAAAGCGUGGGUAGCAAACAGGAUUAGAUACCCCAGUAGUC